UACGUAGGGUGCAAGCGUUGUCCGGAAUUAUUGGGCGUAAAGGGCUCGUAGGCGGUCCAUCGCGUCGGGAGUGAAAAGCUGGGGCUUAACCCCAGUCCUGCUUUCGAUACGGGUGGACUAGAGGUAGGCAGGGGAGAAUGGAAUUCCUGGUGUAGCGGUGAAAUGCGCAGAUAUCAGGAGGAACACCGGUGGCGAAGGCGGUUCUCUGGGCAGUAACUGACGCUGAGGAGCGAAAGCGUGGGGAGCGAACAGG
rnacentral:rRNA from 1 species